rnacentral:rRNA from 1 species
UACGAAGGGUGCAAGCGUUGCUCGGAAUUAUUGGGCGUAAAGGGUAGGUAGGUGGUGACAUUUGUCUGGGGUGAAAUCCCUGAGCUUAACUCAGGAAGUGCCUUUGAUACUGGCGAUCUUGAGUUCGGGAGAGGUGAGUGGAACUGCGAGUGUAGAGGUGAAAUUCGUAGAUAUUCGCAAGAACACCAGUGGCGAAGGCGGCUUACUGGUCCGGUUCUGACGCUGAGGCGCGAAAGCGUGGGGAGCAAACAGG